UCAGAGUGAACGCUGGCGGUAGGCCUAACACAUGCAAGUCGAACGGCAGCACAGAGGAGCUUGCUCCUUGGGUGGCGAGUGGCGGACGGGUGAGGAAUACAUCGGAAUCUACUCUGUCGUGGGGGAUAACGUAGGGAAACUUACGCUAAUACCGCAUACGACCUACGGGUGAAAGCAGGGGAUCUUCGGACCUUGCGCGAUUGAAUGAGCCGAUGUCGGAUUAGCUAGUUGGCGGGGUAAAGGCCCACCAAGGCGACGAUCCGUAGCUGGUCUGAGAGGAUGAUCAGCCACACUGGAACUGAGACACGGUCCAGACUCCUACGGGAGGCAGCAGUGGGGAAUAUUGGACAAUGGGCGCAAGCCUGAUCCAGCCAUACCGCGUGGGUGAAGAAGGCCUUCGGGUUGUAAAGCCCUUUUGUUGGGAAAGAAAUCCAUCUGGUUAAUACCCGGGUGGGAUGACGGUACCCAAAGAAUAAGCACCGGCU
rnacentral:rRNA from 1 species